AGAGUUUGAUCAUGGCUCAGAAUCAACGCUGGCGGCGUGCCUAACACAUGCAAGUCGAACGAGAAAGUGGAGCAAUCCAUGAGUAAAGUGGCGACCGGGUGAGUAACACGUGACUAACCUACCCUCGAGUGGGGAAUAACUCCGGGAAACCGGGGCUAAUACCGCAUAACAUCCCGCUCACGCGGGAUCAAAGGAGCAAUUCGCUUGAGGAGGGGGUCGCGGCUGAUUAGCUAGUUGGUAGGGUAACGGCCUACCAAGGCAAAGAUCAGUAUCCGGCCUGAGAGGGCGCACGGACACACUGGAACUGAAACACGGUCCAGACUCCUACGGGAGGCAGCAGUGGGGAAUUUUGCGCAAUGGGGGAAACCCUGACGCAGCAACGCCGCGUGGAGGAUGAAGUCCCUUGGGAUGUAAACUCCUUUCGAUCGGGACGAUUACGACGGUACCGGAAGAAGAAGCCCCGGCUAACUUCGUGCCAGCCGCCGCGGUAAUAC
rnacentral:rRNA from 1 species